rnacentral:rRNA from 1 species
AUUGAACGCUGGCGGCAGGCCUAACACAUGCAAGUCGAACGGUAACAGGAAACAGCUUGCUGUUUCGCUGACGAGUGGCGGACGGGUGAGUAAUGUCUGGGAAACUGCCUGAUGGAGGGGGAUAACUACUGGAAACGGUAGCUAAUACCGCAUAACGUCGCAAGACCAAAGAGGGGGACCUUCGGGCCUCUUGCCAUCAGAUGUGCCCAGAUGGGAUUAGCUAGUAGGUGGGGUAACGGCUCACCUAGGCGACGAUCCCUAGCUGGUCUGAGAGGAUGACCAGCCACACUGGAACUGAGACACGGUCCAGACUCCUACGGGAGGCAGCAGUGGGGAAUAUUGCACAAUGGGCGCAAGCCUGAUGCAGCCAUGCCGCGUGUAUGAAGAAGGCCUUCGGGUUGUAAAGUACUUUCAGCGGGGAGGAAGGGAGUAAAGUUAAUACCUUUGCUCAUUGACGUUACCCGCAGAAGAAGCGCCGGCUAACUCCGUG